rnacentral:rRNA from 1 species
GAUGAACGCUGGCGGCGUGCCUAAUACAUGCAAGUCGAGCGAACGGACGAGAAGCUUGCUUCUCUGAUGUUAGCGGCGGAGGGGUGAGUAACACGUGGAUAACCUACCUAUAAGACUGGGAUAACUUCGGGAAACCGGAGCUAAUACCGGAUGAUAUUUUGAACCGCAUGGUUCAAAAGUGAAAGACGGUCUUGCUGUCACUUAUAGAUGGAUCCGCGCUGCAUUAGCUAGUUGGUAAGGUAACGGCUUACCAAGGCAACGAUGCAUAGCCGACCUGAGAGGGUGAUCGGCCACACUGGAACUGAGACACGGUCCAGACUCCUACGGGAGGCAGCAGUAGGGAAUCUUCCGCAAUGGGCGAAAGCCUGACGGAGCAACGCCGCGUGAGUGAUGAAGGUCUUCGGAUCGUAAAACUCUGUUAUUAGGGAAGAACAUAUGUGUAAGUAACUGUGCACAUCUUGACGGUACCUAAUCAGAAAGCCACGGCUAACUACGUG